CCUGGGAUAGCUCAGUCAACAGAGCAUAAGACUCUUAAUCUGAAGGUCAUGGGUUCGAGUCCCUGCAUUGCAGGG